rnacentral:rRNA from 1 species
GGUUCGAUUCUGGCUCCAGAUUGAACGCUGGCGGGAUGCUUUACACAUGCAAGUCGAACGGCAGCGGACUUCGGUCUGGUGGCGAGUGGCGAACGGGUGAGUAAUGUAUCGGAACGUGCCCUGGCGGGGAUAACUACGCGAAAGCGUAGCUAAUACCAUACGCCCUUCGAGGAAAGCGGGGACCUUCGGGCCUCGCACUAUUAGAGCGGCCGAUAUCGGAUUGGCUAGUUGGUGAGGUAACGGCUCACCAAGGCGACGAUCAUCGCUGGUUUGGGGGGACGACCAGCCACGCUAGGGACUGAGACACGGCCCAGACUCCUACGGGAGGCAGCAGUGGGGGAAUUUUGGACAAUGGGGAAACCCUGAUCCAGCCAUCCCGCGUGUGCGAUGAAGGCCUUCGGGUUGUAAAAGCACUUUUGGCAGGAAAGAAACGGCACGGGAUAUUGCCCCGUGCAACUGACCAGUACCUGCAGAAUAAGCACCGGCUAACUACGUGCCAGCAGCCGCGGUAAUACGUAGGAGUGCAAGCGUUAAUCGGAAUUACUGGGCGUAAAGCGUGCCAGGCGGUUCGGAAAGAAGAUGUGAAAUCCCAGAGGCUUAACUUUGGAACUGCAUUUUUAACUACCGAGCUAGAGUGUGUCAGAGGGAGGUGGAGAUUCCCGUGUAGCAGUGAAAUGUGAAUAUGCGGAGGAACACCGAUGGCGAAGGCAGCCUCCUGGGAUAACACUGACGCUCAUGCACGAAAGCGUGGGGGAGCAAACAGGAUUAGAUACCCUGGUAGUCCACGCCCUAAACGUGUCAGCUAGCUGUUGGGGCCUUCGGGCCUUGGUAGCGCAGCUAACGCGUGAAGUUGACCGCCUGGGGGAAGUACAGUCCUCAAGAUUAAAACUCAAAGGAAUUGACGGGGACCUGCACAAGCGGUGGAUGAUGUGGAUUAAUUCGAUGCAACGCGAAAAACCUUACCUACCCUUGACAUGUCUGGGUCGAAGAGAUUUGGGAGUGCUCGCAAGAGAACCGGAACACAGGUGCUGCAUGGCUGUCGUCAGCUCGUGUCGUGAGAUAUUGGGUUAAGUCCCGCAACGAGCGCAACCCUUGUCAUUAGUUGCUACGAAGGGCACUCUAAUGAGACUGCCGGUGACAAACCGGAGGAAGGUGGGGAUGACGUCAAGUCCUCAUGGCCUUAUGGGUAGGGCUUCACACGUCAUACAAUGGUCGAAACCAACCCGCGAGGGAGCCAUCCCAGAAACCCGAUCGUAGUCCGGAUCGCAGUCUGCAACUCGACUGCGUGAAGUCGGAAUCGCUAGUAAUCGCGGAUCAGCAUGUCGCGGUGAAUACGUUCCCGGGUCUUGUACACACCGCCCGUCACACCAUGGGAGUGGGUUUUACCAGAAGUAGUUAGCCUAACCGUAAGAGGCGAUUACCACGGUAGGAUUCAUGACUGGGGUGAAGUCGUAACAAGGUAA